UUUGGAAAGAGAAUAUAUGAGCCAUUGAUUUUUUAUUCAAUGGUUGAUAUUGCUCAAACUCUACCUUGUAAAGUUAUUUUACAACUCUAGAGGAUCCAAACACAUCAUCAUAUAUAAUCCACUAGCCUAUCCAUUGAAACAACCACAACAACAUAAAAAUCUUAGCAAAGGAUAAUAGUAUUAUAUAAAAGUGAAAUUUAGAUAUUUUCAACUAAAGUAGCUAAGAUUGAAUAAAGAUCUGUAUCUUAUUAAUAUAUAACAUCUAACAUAUAAUACUAGAUUACUCAGUGCAUAGGAUCUUAUCAAAUG